UGGAAAAGCUGGGGCUUCAACGUGCUCUUGCAGCUCUGAAGGGUACAGUCAACAUAGUUGAACUUGUCACCGAUGCAUCGACAUCUAUUGCUGUGAUUAUGUCUCGGGACCUAGAGUACAAGAACAUAUUUCAUUCGUUGGAUGUCUGGCAUAAGGCUAAGAAAUUGGCCAAAACCUUGACAGAGGCAUCAAAGAAGAAAGGAAUGGGAAGUCUGAGAGAAUGGAAGCGUUCCAUCAUCAACCAUUUCUGGUGGUGUUGUGCACAAUGUGAUGGUAAUGUGGAGACAUUGAGGGUACUCCACUAAUUUCACUAAUGAAAAGUUAUAGAGAUUAUGUCAUUCUUCUUUUACCGGACACGUGUACUUCCGUGUUCGACUACAUAUGAGUCUAAGAACGAUUCGUGCAAGAGACCAAACGGCAGCGAAAACGCUUCAUGAAUUUCCUCGCCCCAUUCUUUUGUAUUGUAGCUAGGGACUGUGUGUACUCGACAACCAAGAAACACCUUCAGGAGUUGAAUGCCACCUAAAGUCAACUAUUCACACGUCUCAUACUACAGUACAAUCAAUCCUUUACUACACUUUGCUGCAUCUAACACUGU